UACGGGGGGGGCAAGCGUUGUUCGGAAUUACUGGGCGUAAAGGGCUCGUAGGCGGCCAACUAAGUCGGACGUGAAAUCCCCGGGCUCAACCUGGGCACUGCAGUUGGAACUGGUAAGCUAGAGUAGGGUAGAGGGGUGUGGAAUUCCAGGUGUAGCGGUGAAAUGCGUAGAUAUCUGGAGGAACAUCAGUGGCGAAGGCGACACCCUGGACUCAUACUGACACUGAGGUGCGAAAGCGUGGGGAGCAAACAGG
rnacentral:rRNA from 1 species